CCCAGUCUUGUCAUCUCACCCACAACCGGCAUCCACUAUGCUCACAUGUCUUGGCCAUGCAAAGGACGGCAUGGGGAAAGAUCCCACAGCCCUGACCAACCUUGGCAUUGCCGAGGAACCUACAAAUAGUGAGUCGCCCCCAUCUCAAAGGAUGCAAAACAUGACAAUGUGAUCGGAGGUUGUUCUCCAAGCCUCUCUCUCUCUCUCUGUCAGUCAUUCCCUCAAACUGUCCCCAUGAUUGGUCUCUACAAACCUAUGGUUGUAUUGCAGAUUUGGGCUAUUUCUAGUG
rnacentral:lncRNA from 1 species